rnacentral:antisense_RNA from 1 species
UGUGGGAGCGGGCUUGCUCGCGAAAGCGGUAUGUCAGUCAAUAUUGAUGUUGAGGCUGAUACCCCCUUCGCGAGCAAGCCCGCUCCCACA